rnacentral:lncRNA from 1 species
CUUCUGGCCAUGCUCUAUGCUUUCCCUUCACAGACACUUCAUCAUCAUUGACCAGGAUAAGUUUCGGGAAAUUUGGCUGAUGAAUGAAGCUGAGGCGAAGGAACUGGCGCAAAGAGCCUUCGAUGUGGACAAGAUCAUUCAUUCCCAGCACCUGGGGUUGCCCUGGAAGAUUCCCAACUUCUGGUUCCUGAAUAAUGUGGGGCCGAUCUCCCUGCAGCAGCAGCAGAAGUCAGUCACACAAAUACUAGAAGAACUGCUGCUGCAGUCAGAAGAUGAGGGGACAGAGACAGCCAUGUCCGAAGACGAGUCUUACAUGGACCUGCCCAAUCAAGUUUCAGCAAAAACUACCAAAAAGAUCUUGGUGCUCCUGUGUGAUGAGUCGGUAAGGCCUCUGCGGCCAUGCAG